rnacentral:rRNA from 1 species
AGUCGAGCAGGGACGAAAGUCGGGCUUAGUGAUCCGGUGGUUCCGCAUGGAAGGGCCAUCGCUCAACGGAUAAAAGCUACCCUGGGGAUAACAGGCUUAUCUCCCCCAAGAGUCCACAUCGACGGGGGGGUUUGGCACCUCGAUGUCGGCUCGUCGCAUCCUGGGGCUGUAGUCGGUCCCAAGGGUUGGGCUGUUCGCCCAUUAAAGCGGCACGCGAGCUGGGUUCAGAACGUCGUG